rnacentral:rRNA from 1 species
GUGGGGAAUAUUGCACAAUGGGGGAAACCCUGAUGCAGCAACGCCGCGUGAAGGAAGAAGGUUUUCGGAUCGUAAACUUCUAUCAACAGGGACGAAGAAAGUGACGGUACCUGAAUAAGAAGCCCCGGCUAACUACGUGCCAGCAGCCGCGGUAAUACGUAGGGGGCAAGCGUUAUCCGGAAUUACUGGGUGUAAAGGGAGCGUAGGUGGCACGCCAAGCCAGAUGUGAAAGGCCGAGGCUUAACCUCGCGGAUUGCAUUUGGAACUGGCGAGCUAGAGUACAGGAGAGGAAAGCGGAAUUCCUAGUGUAGCGGUGAAAUGCGUAGAUAUUAGGAAGAACACCAGUGGCGAAGGCGGCUUUCUGGACUGAAACUGACGCUGAGGCUCGAAAGCGUGGGGAGCAAACAGGAUUAGAAACCCGAGUAGUCC